rnacentral:tRNA from 1 species
GAGAGUGUAGUUCAGUGGUGGAGCACUUGCCUAACAUGUUUGAGAACCUAGGUUCAAGCCCUAGCACCA